rnacentral:lncRNA from 1 species
UUUUUUGAACGUUGAAAGGAUAAUCGAUUAUGCAAGUUAAAUAAUCGAUUAUGCUGAGCCAAUAUCAGAUUUAUUGUUUAAACGUUGUGCAACGGCUAUAUCACCUACACACCCUAUAAAUAAAGGUCUUUGGAGCUGAUUUUAGAUGAACAACAUCUCUCAUUAUUCAUAAACAUAUUGAUAAUAUUUGUGCAUCAUAUUAAGAGCUUUUGUUGAGCCAUUUGAGAGACAACUUUGUGUUGUUCAUAGAGCUUA